AUAAUAACUACUUGGGGAUCUUGUUAAAAAAGCAGAGUCUGAUUCAGUAGGUCUGGAGCAGGGCCUGAGAUUCACCAUUUCUAAUAAGCUCCCAGGUGGUAUCAAU
rnacentral:pre_miRNA from 1 species